CAGCAGCCGCGGUAAUACGUAGGUGGCAAGCGUUGUCCGGAAUUAUUGGGCGUAAAGAGCUCGCAGGCGGUUUCUUAAGUCUGAUGUGAAAGCCCCCGGCUCAACCGGGGAGGGUCAUUGGAAACUGGGAAACUUGAGUGCAGAAGAGGAGAGUGGAAUUCCACGUGUAGCGGUGAAAUGCGUAGAGAUGUGGAGGAACACCAGUGGCGAAGGCGACUCUCUGGUCUGUAACUGACGCUGAAGAGCGAAAGCGUGGGGAGCGAACAGGAUUAGAUACCCUCGUAGUCCCUGUCUCUUAUAC
rnacentral:rRNA from 1 species